rnacentral:misc_RNA from 1 species
AAGCUUCGUAAUUGACUACGCACGGGACGUAAAGCGAACAAGGUUGAUGAAGGUAACGUUGUCUGGUAACGAAAAGAAGAAACGAGCAAAAAAAAAAGGAGAGAAGUUAUACGUCGACGUCGUGAUCGUCGAGUGAAAGAUAACAGCGAGCAAGCGGAGGAAAGGAAGGGUUUAAAAAAACACGUGGAAGCGGAACGAAGAUUAAAUGAACAGAAGCCGGAGAGAAGCGGAACAAAGGACCAAAAGCAACGGUUCGUCUACUCCGAGUGGACCAGCCCCUCGUUCCCGUCUACGCCAACCACCCUUGCGCUUCCAACCCGUAGAGAGUUGCCGCGAAAAAGCAGCACGAGAUAAAAGCGCCACGAGAAAACUCCGAGCCGAGCUACGCCAAUGGGGCGCGGUACUUUAGCGACACAAAGGAAGCUCAAAUAUCGGCCAACUGUCGUAGCCCGGUGCCACCCAACCCCUGGAACGACCUCUCUCUUUCACUGUCCGUUUCAUACCUUUUCUUGCUUGAAACGAAAGCAGGGGAGAAAAAGAGAGAGACAGAACGUUUCAACAAAAGCAUGACGGUACAAAAGCUCUACGAUAAUAGGAAGCACGGCAAGAACCACCCUGGUAGUUCGGCCACCUAAUCUGUUACAGUCAUAAACCCCAUUUUUACCCCUCCAUGGUCGUCCUUAUACGAGCACCCAAAACCAACCUCUGUAUUACAGUACAUAUAACCACCUAUACAACCACGUAGAACCACACACGUACGCUAUUAGUGGUACGUGAAGUCAAAUUUUUCUCGGGAUUACGUCUACCGACCAGUGCGCCAAUCAUCCCUCUUUAACAAGCAGAUUCUCUUAAAUUCGAUAUCAAGUACAUUUUGGAAAAUAUUUGUAAUCCUUGGUAAGGAUUGUUAUAGCAAGGGCUGAGAUGUAUAUUUCUGAAUGUCAAGUAUUGAAAGUAUAAAACUAUAAGAGUAAUUUAUAAUUUU